rnacentral:rRNA from 1 species
CCUACGGGAGGCUGCAGUGGGGAAUAUUGGACAAUGGGGGCAACCCUGAUCCAGCCAUGCCGCGUGUGUGAAGAAGGCCCUCGGGUUGUAAAGCACUUUCAGUGAGGAAGAACGCCUGGUGGUUAAUACCCAUCAGGAAAGACAUCACUCACAGAAGAAGCACCGGCUAACUCCGUGCCAGCAGCCGCGGUAAUACGGAGGGUGCGAGCGUCAAUCGGAAUUACUGGGCGUAAAGCGCGCGUAGGUGGCUUGAUAAGCCGGUUGUGAAAGCCCCGGGCUCAACCUGGGAACGGCAUCCGGAACUGUCAAGCUAGAGUGCAGGAGAGGAAGGUAGAAUUCCCGGUGUAGCGGUGAAAUGCGUAGAGAUCGGGAGGAAUACCAGUGGCGAAGGCGGCCUUCUGGACUGACACUGACACUGAGGUGCGAAAGCGUGGGUAGCAAACAGGAUUAGAUACCCCAGUAGUC